rnacentral:rRNA from 1 species
UGACUGAGCGGCGGACGGGUGAGUAACGCGUGGGUAACCUGCCCUGUACAGGGGGACAACAGUUAGAAAUGACUGCUAAUACCGCACAAGCGCACAGGACCGCAUGGUCCGGUGUGAAAAACUCCGGUGGUACAGGAUGGACCCGCGUCUGAUUAGGUAGUUGGCGGGGUAACGGCCCACCAAGCCGACGAUCAGUAGCCGACCUGAGAGGGUGACCGGCCACAUUGGGACUGAGACACGGCCCAAACUCCUACGGAAGGCAGCAG